GAUCUUGGGUUCGCCGUGAUGGGAAUGUACCCAGAAAUGCAGGUGAAGUACAGAUUUAAUUGGAGCGAGCUGAUGGAGCUGGUUCACCGCUGCGCUCGAAGUCACUUUCCCAAAGAUGGUCGCCUCAUGACGAGAGCCAUGGGC
rnacentral:lncRNA from 1 species